CGGGUACUGCUCGGUUCGUGAUUGGCCCUUUUCCAGUGGCCGAUAAGCAUCUCCGAGGGAGCUGGCUCUGUCAAGGUUCUGGCCUUGGUAUCUGGCGACCACCUGAACACUCAGGCUCUCGGGAAAUUCAAGCCGACACGGCUGCUGCGGUUCCUGC
rnacentral:other from 1 species